rnacentral:rRNA from 1 species
GAGAAUGCCGGUGUGAGUAGCGAAAGACGGGUGAGAAUCCCGUCCACCGAUUGACUAAGGUUUCCAGAGGAAGGCUCGUCCGCUCUGGGUUAGUCGGGUCCUAAGCUGAGGCCGACAGGCGUAGGCGAUGGAUAACAGGUUGAUAUUCCUGUACCACCUAUAAUCGUUUUAAUCGAUGGGGGGACGCAGUAGGAUAGGCGAAGCGUGCGAUUGGAUUGCACGUCUAAGCAGUAAGGCUGAGUAUUAGGCAAAUCCGGUACUCGUUAAGGCUGAGCUGUGAUGGGGAGAAGACAUUGUGUCUUCGAGUCGUUGAUUUCACACUGCCGAGAAAAGCCUCUAGAUAGAAAAUAGGUGCCCGUACCGCAAACCGACACAGGUAGUCAAGAUGAGAAUUCUAAGGUGAGCGAGCGAACUCUCGUUAAGGAACUCGGCAAAAUGACCCCGUAACUUCGGGAGAAGGGGUGCUCUUUAGGGUUAACGCCCAGAAGAGCCGCAGUGAAUAGGCCCAAGCGACUGUUUAUCAAAAACACAGGUCUCUGCUAAACCGUAAGGUGAUGUAUA